rnacentral:rRNA from 1 species
UACGUAGGGGGCUAGCGUUGUCCGGAAUCACUGGGCGUAAAGCGCGUGUAGGCGGUCCGGUAAGUCCGCUGUGAAAGUCGGGGGCUCAACCCUCGGAUGCCGGUGGAUACUGUCGGGCUUGAGUACGGAAGAGGCGAGUGGAAUUCCUGGUGUAGCGGUGAAAUGCGCAGAUAUCAGGAGGAACACCAAUUGCGAAGGCAGCUCGCUGGGACGUUACUGACGCUGAGACGCGAAAGCGUGGGGAGCAAACAGG